CACAGGGCUCAGUGGUGCUGCACAACUCUUCUCUGUCCAGUUUCUCAUUCAAGAGUAAAUCUCCCGUCAGCAAAUCAAGAGUGUAGCAACCCAGGUGGAAUCGAGGAAGAGACUAUUAAAUAUUCAUCUGGCAUAGCACUUCAUCAGCCGCCUCAUGGGAUGGAGAUGCUGAUAAAGUCGGUGACAAAGAUGCCACCCACAAAGCAAGAUAUAAUGGG